rnacentral:tRNA from 1 species
GGAUUGUGGCUGAGUGGCAGAGUGCUUGCCUCGAAUGUGUGAGACACUGGGUUCAAUCCUCAGCACCA